rnacentral:rRNA from 1 species
UACCAGCACCCCGGGUGGUCGGGACGAUUAUUGGGCCUAAAGCAUCCGUAGCCGGUUCUACAAGUCUUCCGUUAAAUCCACCUGCUUAACAGAUGGGCUGCGGAGGAUACUAUGGAGCUAGGAGGCGGGAGAGGCAAGCGGUACUUAGUGGGUAGGGGUAAAAUCCGUUGAUCCAUUGAAGACCACCAGUGGCGAAGGCGGCUUGCCAGAACGCACUCGACGGUGAGGGAUGAAAGCUGGGGGAGCAAACCGG